AAUGAACGUUGGCGGCGUGGAUUAGGCAUGCAAGUCGAGCGUGUACCCGCAAGGGGAAAGCGGCAAACGGGGUAGGAACGCGUAGGUCACGUACCCCUCGGCCGGGGAUAGCCACGGGAAACUGUGGGUAAUACCCGAUGACGCCGAGAGGCCAAAGGUGUGAUUCCGCCGGGGGAGCGGCCUGCGUAGUAUUAGCUAGUUGGUGAGGUAACGGCUCACCAAGGCGAAGAUGCUUAGGGGGUGUGAGAGCAUGACCCCCACCACUGGGACUGAGAUACUGCCCAGACACCUACGGGUGGCUGCAGUCGAGAAUCUUCGGCAAUGGGGGCAACCCUGACCGAGCGACGCCGCGUGUGGGAUGAAGGCCCUUGGGUUGUAAACCACUGUCAGAGGGAUGAAACGAUCAUGGGUUCUCCCAUGGUCCUGACAUAGCCUCAGAGGAAGCACGGGCUAAGUUCGUGCCAGCAGCCGCGGUAAUACGAACUGUGCAAACGUUAUUCGGAAUCACUGGGUACG
rnacentral:rRNA from 1 species